ensembl:lncRNA
GAAGAGGACAAGGGCCAGUCGUCCGGAUACAUGAGGCAGCACAACCUGCUCCAGCCCAGCCUCCGCUCAUUAGCCAGCCCUGCUAAGACGGAGGUGUCUUCGCUUCCAAAGCCUCCGCUUUGACAUUCACACAGUGCUUCCAGUCGAUCAGGUCCCAGCUCUGAUAAAUUUGCAUCUCUUUGAAUGUGACGCUGAAAAAAAAAAGCAGGCGAAAAAGAGGGAGGGGAGAAAAAGGGCCCAGCCACUAGAUUAAAUUUUGCCGUCUAGAAAAUGAGAAAAAAGGGCCUCUAUCUCCUGGAGUCUACUGGGAAGAUCUUUAUUCUGAUUCUUGUUAGAAUUGUUUAUCACAGUGACAGAGCAGGCCUGAGCAGAGAUAAAGGCAGUGCUCCAUCACGCGCCCUGACAGUCGUAGGACAUGCAGUGGAAUGAAAGAAGCCAGGGAAAUAUUAUUAAUAGAUGCUGAUUUGAUUUGCCUCGAUUGCACGUCAAGAAGAGGGGGCCAUGGCUUGAUUGCAGCCUAUGAAGUUCUGUCCAAAAGAGAAGCUAUUUUUCAUUAAGUGAUAGAAGUCUUUUUCUCUUUUUUUUGGCUCCCUUUUGCUUUCCAAGGAGCUGAUAACUUAUGCAGUUUAUUCUAACCGUGCUGAUUUGUGUCAGUGAGAAAAAGAGAAAGAGAGUGAGGGAGAGAGAGAGAGAUAGAGAGAGAAUGGGGCUUAUCUUGUCUUAUGUAAAAUAAACCGCCUUUCCUGGUUUAAUGUUAGUUUUGGUGCAAGUGAGGAGCUUGCAUGCACAUUUGACCUGUUCUUGUGAUCUACACGCAUGCAGCUGCAGUGUGGUUGGGGCAAUGCUGUGCAAAAAAAUGUGUCAAAGAAAAGAUGUAGCAGUGUAAGUGAAACUUUUGAGGCAAUUACCUUGACAAGCCUGACACAGACUUCAGCAAAUAGAGAAUGGUGUAUAUAUUGGAUGCUUGACAACAUAUGUGAGCAAGCAGCUUCGUAGUAGUCCAUCAAGAGUGCUGGGAUCGAAGAGAAGUCUAAACGAUCCUGCUCUCUCUGUGUCAUUAGGGCAGGGUGGAGAACCCCAUGAAAGAACUACCAAAAUCUCCUUGAAGGAGGAGGAAAAGAAAGGCAGAGUAUCGAUCUGUCUGUCCACGGAUAUGAUACUUAAGCCCAGUACUCAGAGUCAGAGAGCCCAGAGAUCCAUUUCUCAAAGACUUUAAUCCAUGCUCCUCUCUAGCUAGAUUGGCCUUCACCCUAACCUCUUGACAACUGCACGAACAGAUCAGGUAUGGAAAUUAAGCAGUUCUCACAUUAGCCUCUUUCUCUUAUUCUUUCACUAUCACUACUGUUUUGUCUUAUUCAUUAUGCCAAAUGCAUUCCUUUAGAGACAACGUGAAAUCAAAAUUGACUUGUUCCUGGUGCACACUUCAUCAGUCCAUAAUUUAAAAAAAAUAAAUAAAUAAAUAAAUAAAUUAUGUUUUCGUAA